AUUGAACGCUGGCGGCAAGCCUAACACAUGCAAGUCGAGCGGCAGCGGGAAAGUAGCUUGCUACUUUUGCCGGCGAGCGGCGGACGGGUGAGUAAUGCCUGGGAAAUUGCCCAGUCGAGGGGGAUAACAGUUGGAAACGACUGCUAAUACCGCAUACGCCCUACGGGGGAAAGCAGGGGACCUUCGGGCCUUGCGCGCUUGGAUAUGCCCAGGUGGGAUUAGCUAGUUGGUGAGGUAAUGGCUCACCAAGGCGACGAUCCCUAGCUGGUCUGAGAGGAUGAUCAGCCAGACUGGAACUGGAACACGUGCCAGACUCCUACGGGAGGCAGCAGUGGGGAAUAUUGCACAAUGGGGGAAACCCUGAUUCAGCCAUGCCGCGUGUGUGAAGAAGGCCUUCGGGUUGUAAAGCACUUUCAGUGAGGAGGAAAAGUUGAUGCCUAAUACGUAUCAACUGUGACGUUACUCGCAGAAGAAGCACCGGCUAACUCCGUGCCAGCAGCCGCCGUAA
rnacentral:rRNA from 1 species